UGGGGAAUUUUGGACAAUGGGCGAAAGCCUGAUCCAGCAAUGCCGCGUGUGUGAAGAAGGCCUUCGGGUUGUAAAGCACUUUUGUCCGGAAAGAAAUCCUUGGCUCUAAUACAGUCGGGGGAUGACGGUACCGGAAGAAUAAGCACCGGCUAACUACGUGCCAGCAGCCGCGGUAAUACGUAGGGUGCAAGCGUUAAUCGGAAUUACUGGGCGUAAAGCGUGCGCAGGCGGUUUGCUAAGACCGAUGUGAAAUCCCCGGGCUCAACCUGGGAACUGCAUUGGUGACUGGCAGGCUAGAGUAUGGCAGAGGGGGGUAGAAUUCCGCGUGUAGCAGUGAAAUGCGUAGAGAUGUGGAGGAAUACCGAUGGCGAAGGCAGCCCCCUGGGCCAAUACUGACGCUCAUGCACGAAAGCGUGGGGAGCAAACAGGAUUAGAUACCCUGGUAGUCCACGCCCUAAACGAUGUCAACUAGUUGUUGGGGAUUCAUUUCCUUAGUAACGUAGCUAACGCGUGAAGUUGACCGCCUGGGGAGUACGGUCGCAAGAUUAAAACUCAAAGGAAUUGACGGGGUCAUAGCUGUUUCCU
rnacentral:rRNA from 1 species